rnacentral:rRNA from 1 species
GAUGAACGCUGGCGGCGUGCCUAAUACAUGCAAGUCGAGCGAACAGACGAGGAGCUUGCUCCUCUGACGUUAGCGGCGGACGGGUGAGUAACACGUGGAUAACCUACCUAUAAGACUGGGAUAACUUCGGGAAACCGGAGCUAAUACCGGAUAAUAUAUUGAACCGCAUGGUUCAAUAGUGAAAGACGGUUUUGCUGUCACUUAUAGAUGGAUCCGCGCCGCAUUAGCUAGUUGGUAAGGUAACGGCUUACCAAGGCAACGAUGCGUAGCCGACCUGAGAGGGUGAGCGGCCACACUGGAACUGAGACACGGUCCAGACUCCUACGGGAGGCAGAAGUAGGGAAUCUUCCGCAAUGGGCGAAAGCCUGACGGAGCAACGCCGCGUGAGUGAUGAAGGUCUUCGGAUCGUAAAACUCUGUUAUUAGGGAAGAACAAAUGUGUAAGUAACUAUGCACGUCUUGACGGUACCUAAUCAGAAAGCCACGGCUAACUACGUG